UUCAAUGGUGAUUCAGGCGGGGGAGGCUUCGGCCUCGCCGGUUGGACACCACCGGUACUGCGAACCCUGUCUGAAUCGCCACCAUC
rnacentral:antisense_RNA from 5 species